CAGUCGAGCGAAUUCUGACAGUACACCGUCAGAGUUAGCGGCAGACGGGUGAGUAAUACUUGGGCAAUCUACCCUCCAGUAGGGGACAACCUGCCGAAAGGCGGGCUAAUACCCCAUAAGACCACAGGGAUGCAUAUUCCAGGGGUCAAAGCUCCGCAAGGGGCGCUGAAGGAGGAGCCCGAGUCCUAUCAUGGCAGUUGGCGGGGUAAUGGCCCACCAAGCCGUUGACGGGUAGCCGGCCUGAAAGGGCAACCGGCCACACUGGCACUGAGACACGGGCCAGACUCCUACGGGAGGCAGCAGUGGGGAAUUUUGGACAAUGGGGGCAACCCUGAUCCAGCGACGCCGCGUGAAGGAUGAAGGUCUUCGGAUUGUAAACUUCUUUUGGAGGGGAUGAAUGACUUGGUGAAUAGCCAAGAAUGACAGUACCCUUCGAAUAAGCCACGGCUAACUACGUGCCAGCAGCCGCG
rnacentral:rRNA from 1 species